AGAGUUUGAUCCUGGCUCAGAACGAACGCUGGUGGCGUGUUUUAUACAUGCAAGUCGAGCGAGGACAAUAGCUUGCUAUUGAGCCGAGCGGCGAACGGGUGAGUAACGCGUAAGCGAUCUGCCCCAUAGUCGGGAAUAACCGCGCUAACGUGCGGCUAAUGCCGGAUAUUGUGUCCUACCGCAUGGUAGGUUGACGAAAGAUUUAUCGCUAUGGGAUGAGCUUGCGUCCGAUUAGCUAGUUGGUAGGGUAAUGGCCUACCUAGGCAGUGAUCGGUAGCCGACCUGAGAGGGUGAUCGGCCACAUUGGGAUUGAGAUACGGCCCAGACUCCUACGGGAGGCAGCAGUAAAGAAUAUUGCGCAAUGGGGGGAACCCUGACGCAGCAACGCCACGUGUGGGAAGAAGCAUUUCGGUGUGUAAACCACUGUCGAAAAGGAAUAAUAGAAGAUUUCGGUCUUUUUGAAUGUACUUUUAAUAGGAAGCACCGGCAAACUUCGUGCCAGCAGCCGCGGUAAUACGAGGGGUGCAAGCGUUGUUCGGAAUUACUGGGCGUAAAGGGAGCGUAGGCGGAGCUUCAAGCAAUCUGUAUAAUCCUGGGGCCCAACCCCAGUCCUGCAGAUUGGACUGUAGCUCUUGAAUAGUUCAGAGGCAAGCGGAAUACCUGGUGUAGCGGUGGAAUGCGUAGAUAUCAGGUAGAACACCAAUGGCGAAGGCAGCUUGCUGGGGACUUAUUGACGCUGAGGCUCGAAAGUGUGGGUAGCAAACAGGAUUAGAUACCCUGGUAGUCCACACAGUAAACGAUGCAUACUGGGCGUCCGGAUUUAAUUCGGGUGCCGCAGCUAACGCGUUAAGUAUGCCGCCUGGGGAGUACGUACGCAAGUAUGAAACUCAAAGGAAUUGACGGGGAUCCGCACAAGCAGCGGAGCAUGUGGUUUAAUUCGAAGCAACGCGAAGAACCUUACCAGGACUUGACAUCCCUCUGAAAGCUCUGAUAACGAAGAGCCCUCUUCGGACAGAGGAGACAGGUGGUGCAUGGUUGUCGUCAGCUCGUGUCGUGAGAUGUUGGGUUAAGUCCCGCAACGAGCGCAACCCUUGCCGAUAGUUGCCAUCAUUAAGUUGGGCACUCUAUCGGGACCGCCGGGGACAACUCGGAGGAAGGUGGGGAGGACGUCAAAUCAUCAUGCCCCUUAUGUUCUGGGCUACACACGUGCUACAAUGGUCGGUACAGCGAGCAGCAAAACCGUGAGGCGGAGCGAAUCUCCAAAACCGAUCCCAGUUCGGACUGUAGGCUGCAACUCGCCUACACGAAGUCGGAGUUGCUAGUAAUCGUGGAUCAGAAUGCCACGGUGAAUGCGUUCCCGGGUCUUGUACACACCGCCCGUCAAG
rnacentral:rRNA from 1 species